rnacentral:rRNA from 1 species
AGCAGCCGCGGUAAUUCCAGCUCCAAUAGCGUAUAUUAAAGUUGUUGCAGUUAAAAGCUCGUAGUUGAAUUUCGGGGUUCUACCGUUGGUCGGGCAAUAGUCUGUACUGGCGUGUAGAAUUUCUACCUUCUGGGGAACCAUCAUGUUAUUUAUUUAGCGUGGUGGGAAACCAGGACCUUUACCUUGAAAAAAUUAGAGUGUUCAAAGCAGGCUUACGUCUGAAUACAUUAGCAUGGAAUAAUAAAAUAGGACGGUGGUCCUGUUUUGUUGGUUUCUGAAUCACCGUAAUGAUUAAUAGGGAUAGUUGGGGGCAUUAGUAUCCAAUUGUCAGAGGUGAAAUUCUUGGAUUUAUUGAAGACUAACUUCUGCGAAAGCAUUUGCCAAGGAUGUUUUUCAUUAAUCAAGAACGAAAGUUAGGGGAUCGAAGACGAUCAGAUACCGUCGUAGUCU